AUACAAGUAUUUACUAAGAUAAAGAAUGUAUUAGAGACUCGCUAUUGGUAAACCGGGUCUUCUUGCUUGUACGUAAAGUGUGGUCCCAGAUAAGCCUGUGCAGUCUGAACAGACUAACUAGGGACGACACAUUUCGCUUUAUGGUAUGUUUCGUUAAAAGAAAAUCCAAUUAAGGCGGAAGUGUCGUCCCUGAUUAGCGUGUCCGGACUUCACAACCGAAUAAGGACGAUACUUAACGCACAGUCAUGAAGCCAGUUUUCCCAGAGCGAGGCUCAAAUCUUUAUCCAUGUAAAAUCUUUACAUGCAGUAACGAUUCAGAAGGCAUACCAAACACAAGUUACGUAAUAUAUUUCAGUUCUUCGUUGAAAAAUAAACAAAUAACAUUUAUUAAAUAGAUAAAUACAAAAUAAUACAAAAAUACAUACAUACAUAAAUAAAUAUAUGAAUAAAUAAUAGGACUUUGGUUAAGAACAAAAAUGUUAUUUAUUCAGCUAUUCAUGGUUCGGCCUGUAUCAUCGAUUACGAUUACAAGAUGUGGCAUAUUUUCACGGCAUCGUGCACCGCUCUUCGCGACAGGAGGAAGAUCGUCUGGAACACACAAAUGAUCUGAAAGGCGCGCGCACCGUUGACAUGGUAACGGUGGUAACGAUUGCAAAAGACAACAACCUCAGGGUGUGGGCUCGAUCCCGGGACAAAAAGAGGACCACAGAUCGGCAGGCCAGGACGCUGGCGCCAAUAGAAAGGAUCGAGACGUGUUUCACUGGACCACCAGGAUGCGUUGUUCGUGACCGGCAGUGCGGGAGAGGACUCGCCGAACAUAGUCGGCGUGUAUGAUGUCGGCAGACUGGAAUACCGCGCAAUCCGAGAACUUAAGGUGGCCUGCAAUGCAAACACGAGGUUUUACGAAGCAGACAACAGAUCAGUGGUCAUGGAAAUUUACGAUAAGUUUUACUUGUUUGACCUUGAAAAAAUGGACGUCAGCAUCGUGUUUCUGGGUCGAGUAGUCGAUACACGAGUGUUUAUCUUGACCAAACGGAAGCAACUCCUCGUGACGUCACGUUUUGUCACGUUUUGGCAAGAACGUGAAACUGUACAACAUCACAAACGGCUGCAUUGACGACAUAAUAAAAACUGGGCACAAGAAGGAGAUCUACCAAGUUGUGGUGAACGAUCCGGGAACGCUCGCUGCAGUGACGGUAGUUUUUGGACCUGUAGUGUUGAUGGACCUUGUCACUCACUCUCGCAUGUAUGAGAUCUCAAACAGUACGUUCAGGAGAUGCGAAAGUAUCUUUACCUCUCAGAAUUAAACAUACGUUGGAAUUUCGCGGCAUAUAUCGUACAGUAUAUUUUAAUGUUAGCGGCGUUUCUUUUUCUGUGUACGCAUUGCAUACUAGCAUAACAUAUACUAUCAAUAAAUCGCACUUUGCGAA